rnacentral:snRNA from 1 species
AGCUUUGAGGAGUGGCAGUAUUAUAGCCAAUGAUUUUUGUCUAAGGCAUGAUUAUUGUUAAUUGAACACUGCUCCCCAAACUGCUAUGGACCAGUGAAUACUUUGUGACUACCAUGUC